UAUUGAGAGGUUCUGCCCUUGGAUUGACUUUCGUUUGUUAUACUGCAGUGCCUGACUUUGUAAGCUGUGGGGCAGGUAAGGCAUAGGCUUUUUACCAUUUUUACUCAUCUUUUUUUCCCCAACCCAUAGAUGGAAGGUGUCUGAUCCUGCGUUAACGGAGCAAACUGAGGGCAGAGCGUCAGGACUCGUAAUUCUGCUCAGUGUGAGAUGCAUCAGCCGAAACCAGGGUGCUUUGCUGCUUAUUUUGGCAUCUUUAGAGAAGUUGUGGCAAAUUCAAAACGCCUUCCUGAAGGGAUGGAAGCCUGAUGAGAUUUGAGUCAGGAGGUUACCUGUUUGCUGCUUCAUCUCCCCUUCAAGACAUACCCAGCAGGACUAGGUAGUACUCACAAGCCGAUUGAAGAGGAGUGGAAUGGUAAACUCAAGCUUUGCAUUUUGUACACCCUGCCACAGCUGCUUUCCUAUUCCUGUAGCUCCCAGCUCCAUUGGUUAUUCCAGCUCUCAGACUGUGGAUUCAUGUGGUGUAUAAGCCACGUUUGGAGCUGAAUUUUCUCACAUGUACUGGGCACAGCAGCGGUAGGAACAAACAGCAACCAUUGAAUCAUUAGAUUUUUCCUUUACACGGCUGUAGUCUGAGCACAGGAGGUCAGCACCAAUUACUGAGCUCUAGAAGAGACAGGGAGCACCCUCCCCCAUUGCACCCUGCCAGAGCACUUGCCCUUGCCAUGCAGUAGCCAUCCCAGGCAGAGAGGGGCCAUUUCUGAAUGGGUCACCACUGGCAGUGGAUUUUGCUGUUCCCCUCUUACAGCCAAAGCAAUGCCCCAUUCACCUCCUGUUCUCAGAUGGGUUUUCCUCUCGUCCCCUUCCUAUGCCUCCUCUUCACCAGUCUUGUUCACAGGAGCUUAUCAUCUGACCUAGCUCUCCUCCAGUGACAGGCACGGAGCAGGUCAGACAGCACAUCUGCCCCGAUUGCUUCAUCCCAUGUUGCGCUAACAUGAAUCAGGUCUGAGCACUGUGCUGCCAUUUUUCCAUCCAUAAAAUGGAGUUAACAGUGCUUCCACCUCUGCAAAAGAAUGCUGAGGCCACCAGAGGAAAGGGCAAUGCACAAGGUGGCUUGGUGCUUUGAGCCCCGGGAUGUGCAUGUGGUACCAAGGAGGGGAUGUGCUGUGAGCAGAGGGCUGUCAAUUGCCACCAGCCAAAACCAGAUGAAGCACGAGUCAAGCCCAGAGCUGAGGUUUCUGGGGGACAGCUGAGAACUGGCAUGUUUGCUCCACAUCACAGGAGAGGAAUACUGACGGAGACAGGUUUUUGACCCUAUCCACCUAGUAGAGUACUUUCAUCUCAGCUGAAAAUAUCACAUUAAGGUUUAGGAUCUGGAUUCCCUGAAGAGUGCCUAAAUUUAAGCUUCUGAAAACACAGUGAUAUAAGAUGACUGCAGAUGCAACCUUAAUGUUUGCUUGAGGAACUCCAAGUGAAAUAUUACUCCCUUUUCAGCCCUGAAUGCAGAACACUUUGUGAAAAAUGACAGAAUUUUAAUGAGAAAGUGAACAACAUGCCAUCAACACCCUUUCGCCAGUAAAAAUGGAAAAACAUCAAGCUUUAAAUCAUGUUCCCUCCACACCUUUGGACAUCUGCGAUUCUGUCUGAGUCCUCAAAAUCUGCUAUGUCUAUCACCAGGUGCAGCCUUUAGACGCUGAGGAGCUUUCUGCUUCAUUGGUUGGCAUGGCAACAGUUGUCAAAUCAUCCCUUGAUAAUGCUCUUUAAUUGAUUGUAUAAAUUAUUUCUAAGAUAUGUGAUUGCAAAAUGAUGUACUGAAGCUCUUCAGUGAACUGAUCAGAGCAUGUACAUUUAAAAAUGCACUGCAUUCACUGACCCUAGCCAAGAACCUGACCCUCUUACAAGCCUGAAAUUCUUUAGAUGAAGCAUAAACAUUAAGCAUUAAGAAAAAGUUCAAAAUGAUGGCAAAGAUAUAUUCUACUCCAAGUGCCUGUUAAUAGUUAUACCAGGAAAGGUCACUUAUAAAAACAUCAACAGCAGUAAAGCUAUAGUUAAUAUCUUUGUUUCUGCACAGAGAACUAAACGGUCAGGGAAUGCAGAGAUGCUUUCUUAUCUGUUAUACUCUGAACCAUUGUAGAUCGCUAACCAGCGUAAACUCUGAGGGUAAUAUUCCUCUGGCCAAAGGAGAUGUUUGCAGUUGAAAUGCCUGUGUUUAAGCUGGCUGUUUAGAAUUUUGUGGCCAAUGGAGAAUAACAUGCAAUUCUAAGACAAAUUAGUAAAAGUCUAAAGAAAAUCAGAAGAUUUGCUAAACUCGAAAGGCCUACUUCCCCUCCUUUGACUCUAAAGAGCUCUUGGUGUGACUAGCUCAGAUGGAGCUACCUGCUUUCCAGACAUCUAAAGUUAGCUGAGAUGAUUGAUUUUUCUUCUGCUGUCUUUUCCAUCCUAUUUUUUUUAACACAAGACUAAAACUUGUUCCAUGAUUUAUGUGUAACUGAUAAGCUCUUUUAAGCCCAUUCUUAAAAUUAUCUUUUUUCAAACUUUGUUUCCAUUAUAGUAAAACAUCUGAAUAUUGAGAUAAAUUUCCAAUCUGAAUAAAAACAAAGAGAUGCCUAGAUCAAAAGGUAUCCACAUAACUAAGUCAAACAUCUGGUUACCUCUGUGCUUACAAAGAAUUGUGAAAUUAUUAAUCUGGUUUUGUCUGUAAAUUUCAGUGACAAAAAUACUAAUCAUGAAUAUACUGUUGGUAUCAGUGAACUGCAACUGGGCCUUAACAUGUGGAACAAGCUUUAAAUCCUAACUAGCAUUUCAGCCCAUGGAUGAGCACAGAUAAUAAUUUAUAAAGACAGGCAGAAGGAGAAGGGUUUAUCUCAGCUGUAAAGCACAAAUAUUAUUUCACUGACCCUCAGACACAAAUGUGGCCUCUUUUUGGGGGACACUCUUGCUCCCCACAAAUCAGGGAAGAAGGUGUGUGUUGGUAAGAAAAGGAUAAUUUAAAAAUAAACCCAUCCCUAACAGAGAAUUUAAAUGUCUUGAUUUUAGAUUUAAAGGAUUUUUUGAGGCAAUGUGAAAUCCCACACCCACUGAUGCAGAAAAGACCCUGCAGAAGAGAGGUUUUUGUGAAGAUAAAUAGCCACAUGUCUGUUGUAUAUUUAUCUUUCCAAAAUGUAGGUCUUAAGAUAAGCGGUGUCCUACAGCACCAUAGUGGAACUGGGCUCUUCUCAUACCAAUAAUCAUCUAGUAGUCUAUGUUCGUCAUCCCUGUGUCUUAAGGCUGGCAUAAAGAGAUUAAGUGUGUGCGCAGUCACACAUAUAUAUUUCUCCUUAUGCCAGUAAUCAGAAAAUGGCAGAGAAAUGGCUCAUUCAUCUGCUCUCUAAAAACACACAAGACAUUCUGUAUUAAAUGUGUAUAUUCACAACCAUCUAGUAUCCCAGCAUACUCCAUUAAUUCACUGUUGCCAUUACACUGAAGUUUCUGUAUCCUCUUGGUUGGAGUAGUUAUCCUGACUUUGAAGACAAAGAAGGAAGAAGACACUAAAGAGAGUAAAUGGUGGCUCCACUGUCAAAUGUGUCAUCCUGGAGGAUGUGGUGCCGGGGCAGCGACUCUGAGGGGUCAGGCUGUGCGUUAAUGAGCUCACCAGCCUUUCUUGAGCCAGGUGCAAGUGGCAAAGGAUGGCGAACCCCUGGUGUGAUGAAGAGGCAGGCAGGCAGGGCUGCCAGGGUGGCCAUCCUGGUCUCCAGUGCCCUCCAGCAGUGAGGCUGAGCCCCCCGCCCCCCUCCUCCUGCAGCACACCAGGAGCUGCUCAGCUAGGACAGGCACCUGCUGAGUGCGUUUGCUCUGUGCAUCGCCACAACUGCUGUGCACAGAUAAAUUUCCAGUGAGAAAAGCUCACUCAUUGAUCCUGGCUUCCGUGGACAGGGUCCCAUUCACCUGGGUCCAAAGCUAGUGAGCUCAGCUGGGGUAAGGAUACCUCCAGUGUCACACAGACCUACGUGGAAGGGCUUUAAAUGACACUCUGGUUGCAGCCUUGUGCAGAGCUCAGGACUGGCAACACCCCGUGCUCCUUGCACAGCUUGGUACCACAACUGCUAGCUGACAGCGAUCUUGCAUUUGUCUACCCUAUGCCACAGUCCGUUUGGUGCCUGCAGUGUAGUCACCGUCUGAGAGGCAGAAAGAAAUGGCAGAUUUUCACUUGUGUUAACUUAUCUAUGCAGUAAUUGAUAUAUUACUCUCUUUUCUGAAAGUUAUAAUUUUUCCUACACAGAAAAUUAAGCAGCAUAAGUAUAGAAUGAUCACAAAAUGUUUUACAAAAGUAAAAGAAGUAGCAUCUAUCUUUAUGUAUCUAGAAGAUAUGAUCUAUCCAGAUUAUAAUCUAGAUGAAGAAAAUUGGGUAACUAUCCCUUACUCUUGGAACAGGUAAGUAUGCUCACUACGUGAGAUAUGUAUAUGGCUAGCUUGACUUAAAUUUAUCCUCUGUAACAUCAGACUGAAGAUCUUCAGGAGCUGGGCUGUGUUUCUUGCUUUUGCUGUCUUUUUAAACUCAGUUUUCGUUUCCUAGCUAUUGUCAGAAAUUUUCUAAAUUCAUCAAAACUCACACAUUGUUCACCAUCUAACCAGAGAAUAGAUAAAUACAUAUGUCAGGCCUCGUUAGCAAAAACUGUCACUGAUGAAUGCUUGUUUUCCCUCCCCUUAUAUCCUACCA